AAAGGAAUUUGUAAACAAAAUUCACAUUAAAUUUACAAGAGAGAAGGAACUCAAAGGCUCAAGCUUAAACUUCUUCAACCAGAUAGUUAAAUUGCUACGAUUCCAGUCUAAGGCGUAGAAGUGGAGGGAAACGAAGAGAAGAAAUGGCUAAAAGAACAAAUCAAUAGAUGCUCUAAUUGCAAAUGGGAUCUUGGCUACGUUCCUUUUUCACUCCAGCCGUGAAUUGGGUCUCCGUUCAAAACCUCCAGAAAUACGUAAUGCAACAAAUAUUGCAUCAGCUAGGUUGGAAUUGAGGUGUACGUGCUGUCGCUGUUGCAGCAAACUUUGAGGGGCUGUUUUGAAUAGCUUCCUACCAGGUAUCCUGGAAAACGAGGAGGCAACAAAAAGGUCAUUGCAAGAUGACAAAUUACAAAAUAUUGAAGAAGUACAGAAAAUCAUAGGGUACCACUUUAAUGAUCAGAAUUUACUGUGGCAAGCUUUUACACAUCCGUCGUAUGACAGGGACUGUAUAUCUUAUGAGCGGCUCGAGUAUGUGGGUGACUCGGUUCUUAACCUUAUGAUUACAAAACAACAGUUUUCCAAGUAUCCAAAUCUUCCACCUGGGUUGUUGUCACCUCUACGUGCAGCAAAUGUUGACACGGAGAAGCUUGCACGUGUUGCUGUUAAGCAUAGCUUCCACAAGUAUUUACGGCAUGGAAGGCCUAUCCUUACACGACGGAUUCAAUCAUUUAUAAAUGCUCUUCCAGAGUAUCCAUUGCAUUCCCAUGGAUUGAUAAAUGCUCCAAAGGUGCUUGCUGAUGUUGUUGAAUCAAAUUUAGGAGCAGUAUUUAUUGAUAGCAAUUCUUCAAUUGACAUUACCUGGGAGGUUUUGUGUGUGACCCUGAUCUUCUUCCACUUGACUAAAGUUAUCUAUAUUCACAUAUUCAAUCAUUUAUAAAUGCUCUUCCCGAGUAUCCAUUGCAUUCCCAUGGAUUGAUAAAUGCUCCAAAGGUGCUUGCUGAUAUCGUUGAAUCAACAAUAGAAGCAGUAUUUAUUGAUAGCAAUUCUUCAAUUGACACUACAUGGGAGAUUGAUUGAAGAAAGUCGUACAGAUCGCUCGAGGUGACGAAUUUGGUAUUUCAACACGAGUACUAGACAGCAGUAGACGCAUGCGGGGAUUCCGUUAGUUAGAGUACACGAGUUGACAAUUCCUGAGACAACAAUAGACACAAAUGAGGAUUCCGUUAAUUAGAGUACACGAGUUGACAAUUCCUGGUGAGCCCCUCAUUUAUUCGUGUGGCCAAAGAUUGUUAUUUAUUUGUUAUAGUCUCUUUCUUAAAACUCUUAGAGUCGCUCCCUCCAUAGUCAUUUUUAUGAGUCAUAAAUAUUCUUUUAUUGAUAUAGACUUACUCGUAUUAGUCUUUCUUAUCGUAUACUUGGAGAUGAAGUUAGUAUUAUUGUGUUGGAAAUAUUUCACGAAUGAGGAUUAAAACUUGUUUGGUCGAUA